rnacentral:rRNA from 1 species
GACGGGGCCCGCACAAGCAGCGGAGCGUGUGGUUUAAUUCGAUGCUACACGAAGAACCUUACCCGGGUUUGACAUACAGGUGGUAGGGAACUGAAAAGGGACCGACCCUUCGGGGAGCCUGAACAGGUGCUGCAUGGCUGUCGUCAGCUCGUGUCGUGAGAUGUCCGGUUAAGUCCGGUAACGAGCGCAACCCUUGCCGUAUGUUACAAGUGUCAUACGGGACUGCCGGUAUCAAGCCGGAGGAAGGUGGGGAUGACGUCAAGUCAGCAUGGCCUUUAUAUCCGGGGCUACACACACGCUACAAUGGUCAGUACAACAGGUUGCAAAGUCGCGAGGUGGAGCCAAUCCAUAAAGCUGGCCUCAGUUCAGAUUGCAGGCUGCAACUCGCCUGCAUGAAGUCGGAGUUGCUAGUAAUCGCGGAUCAGAAUGCCGCGGUGAAUGCGUUCCCGGGUCUU